rnacentral:rRNA from 1 species
UAGGUCGACCCGCUGAAUUUAAGCAUAUCAGUAAGCGGAGGAAAAGAAAAUAACAAUGAUUCCCUUAGUAACGGCGAGUGAACCGGGAUUAGCCCAAUGCUGAAUCCUCACCCUUUGGGUGUUAGGAAAUGUAGCAUAUGGUACUGUUCUAACGGCAUUGUGUUACUGUUUCAAGUCCACUUGAUUGUGGCUUUACCAUAGAGGGUGUUAGUCCCGUUGAAACAGCUCACUUUGUUAUGAACGGUACUACGAGUAGAGUUGCUUGGAACUGCAGCUCAAAUAGGGUGGUAAACUCCAUCCAAGGCUAAAUACAACACGAGUCCGAUAGCAAACAAGUACCAUGAGGGAAAGUUGAAAAGAACUUUGAAGAGAGAGUUCAAUAGUGCGUGAAACCGCUCAAAGGGAACCGGGUAGAGCUGAAGGAGGCAUCGCAUAUUUGCAUUUCAUUUUGGCCAUCAUGUAAGUGCGGAGACUUAUUGCUCGGCUUUCAUGGUGUGCCAUUAAGUUGUGCUAUUGUGCUUUGCCAACACCACGAUCAGUAGAUACUUUGGUCUGGCAUAAAUGGGAAGGUAGCUCGACUCUUCGAGUGUUAUAGACCAUUUUUCUAGCACCGAGGGAGUACUGUAGAUUGGUGCCUUGUCAAAGUUUGGCUGAGGUGUGGGGCUUCUGUCACAACUCAUAAAGAGAUGGGAUAGUUGUCUCUGUGCUUUGGCUGGACCUCUUGCUGGGUAUUUAAAAUCAGUGGUGGCAUUGUACGCAUUCUACCCGACCCGUCUUGAAACACGGACCAAGGAGUUUAACAUGUACGCGAGUCAUUGGGUCGUACGAAACCUAAAGGCGUAGUGAAAGUAAAGGCUAACCUCUGUUAGCUGAGGUGUGAUCCUGGCUUCACUGGGCAGCGAUGCACAUGGGCUAGGCGCAACACCGGCUCGUCUUAUCUUUAAUAAGUGAGGCGAAGCAUGAGCGUACAUGUUGAGACCCGAAAGAUGGUGAACUAUGCUUGCGUAGGUUGAAGCCAGAGGAAACUCUGGUGGAAGACCGUAGCGAUUCUGACGUGCAAAUCGAUCGUCAAACGUGAGUAUAGGGGCGAAAGACUAAUCGAACCAUCUAGUAGCUGGUUCCCCCCGAAGUUUCCCUCAGGAUAGCUGGCACUCACGAAUCAAACAGUUUUAUCCGGUAAAGCGAAUGAUUAGCAGUAUUGGGGAUGAAAUAUCCUCAACUGAUUCUCAAACUUUAAAUGGGUGAGAUGCUCAACUCUCUCAAUUGGAGUUGUAGCAUUGAAUGUGAGUGCCCAGUGGGCCAUUUUUGGUAAGCAGAACUGGCGAUGCGGGAUGAACCGAACGUGAGGUUAAGGAGCCUAACACAACGCUCAUCAGACACCACAAAAGGUGUUGGUUGAUUUUGACAGCAGGACGGUGGCCAUGGAAGUCGGAAUCCGCUAAGGAGUGUGUAACAACUCACCUGCCGAAUCAACCAGCCCUGAAAAUGGAUGGCGCUGUAGCGUUGGUCCUAUACCUCACUGUUACCACGAUUUCAUGUGUGUGGUAACAAGUAGGGGGGCGCAGUGGUAGCAUUGAAGCCUAUGCCGUGAGGUUGGGUGGAGCUGCCACUGGUGCAGAUCUUGGUGGUAGUAGCAAAUAUACAAGUGAGAACCUUGUAGACUGAAGUGG